AUUGAACGCUGGCGGCAGGCCUAACACAUGCAAGUCGAGCGGAUGAAGCGCGCUCGCUCCUGGAUACAGUGGCGGACGGGUGAGUAAUGCCUAGGAAACUGCCUGGUUGCGGGGGAUAACGUCCGGAAACGGGCGCUAAUAACGCAUAAGUUCUGAGGGUGAAAGUGGGGGAUCCUCGGACCUCACGCCAUCAGAUGAGCCUAGGUCGGGUGGGAUAGUUGGUGGGGUAAAGGCCUACCAAGUCGACGAUCCGUAACAGGUCGGAGAGGAGGAUCAGUCACACUAGAGCUGAGACACGGUCCAGGCUCCUGCGGGAGGCAGCAGUGGGGAAUAUUGGACAGUGGGCGAAAGCCUUGUCCAACCGGGCCGCGUGUGUGAAGAAGGUCUUCGGAUUGUAAAGCACUUUAAGUUGGGAGGAAGGGCAGUAAGUUGAUACCUUGCUAUUGUGACGGUACCAACAGAAUAAGCACCGGCUAACUACGUG
rnacentral:rRNA from 1 species